ensembl:lncRNA
AAAACAGUUACAUCAUCAGCAUAAGCUGAUAUGGAGAUUCCACGCAUGACAUUAAUUCCACUGAGAUCUCUUCUUAGCCUGCACAGCAAAGGCUCAAUAACAAGGCUAUAUAAUUGUCCAGACAGUGGACAGCCUUGCCUGAUCCCUUUUAACACAGGUAUUGGUGCACUCAAUCCUCCACCAGCUUUCACAAUCACAAACACUUCAGAAUAUAACAGUUGAAUAUAAGAUAUAAAAUUCUUUCCAAACCCAAAAUUUUUCAAAACCUCAUAAAGAUAUGUAUGAUUAACUCUAUCGAAAGCCUUCUCUUGGUCUAACGACAGAACACCCAGGUCAACAUUAUUAAAUUGAUUAAGAUCAAUGACAUCUCUUAACAAAAAAAGAUUGUCCAUAAUUGACCUAUUAGGAAUACAGUAUGUUUGAUCCCUGUGAACUAAUACUUCCAAAACAUGUUUCAACCUAUUUGCUAAACAUUUUGAAAUUAUUUUAUAGUCCAUGCACAAUAAAGAGACAGGUCUCCAGUUCUUUAGAAGGCACAAAUCCCCCUUUUUAGGGAGCAAGGAAAGGACUGCUCUUCGACAGCUUACAGGAAGUACCUUAUUCCUUACACUUUCCAAUAAAACUUCAUACAAGUCACUUCCAAGUACAUUCCAGAAUGUCUGAUAAAACUCUGCCGGCAAGCCAUCAAUUCCUGGUGAACGGCCAUUUGAUAACUGUCUCAUUGCCUCGGUGAUCUCCUGGAAAGUAAUCUGUCCAUCCAAGGAUUCCUUCUGUUCAUUUGUCAAUUUCGGUAGAUCACUCAGCAAAUCAGACAUACAUUCAAGAUCACAAGUCUCAACAUCAUACAGAUCCGUAUAGAAAUUGACUGCCAGUUUCCUUAUUUCCAAUGGGUCAGAGGUUAUGACCCCGUCAGGCCGCCGAAGAUGAUACAUUUGCUUUUGCUGCACACUUUUCUUUUCAAGAUUAAAAAAAUAUGAGGAAGGAGCAUCCAUGUCUUUAAUAGAACAAAUUCUUGCUCUUAUUAAUGCUCCUUUCACUUGUUCUUGUAAUAAUGAACCAAGUUCUUUCUUUUUAUUCAAAUGUUCAUUUUUUAUCCUUCCAUCAUCCUUAUUUAUCACAAGAAUAUUCUCCAAAGAUUGUAUAUCCCUUUGAAGUUUUUGUACCGCUGCUUUCACCAUGGAAGUAGAAUGUGAACUAUAAUUCUGACAAAAGGUUCUUAUGUUUGCUUUACCGACCUCCCACCACAUAAGCACGUUUUCAAAAGAAACCUUUUUUAACUUCCAGUCAUUCCAAAAGAAUAUAAAAUUCUCACAAAAAUAAAGCAACUGGUAAUAGUUUAGUAUUAAAAUGCCAAAAAUAGUUUGGUUUUUGAAGUUCUUUUCAUAUUCAAAGCAAACAAUAUCAAAUGGUGAUCUGAAAAACCAACGGGAAAAAUAGAAACCUCAGCUAUUUUAUUAUUCCAUUCUUUACCUAUAUAAAAUCUAUCUAAUCUAGCUCCGCUAACCCUAUUAUUAGAUGCUUUGAGCCAAGUAUACUGUUUGAUUCCCGUGUUUCUUCUUCUCCAAAUAUCUAUUAAAUCAAACUUUUUUAAAAUUUUUAACAAUACAACACUUGACUCAUGAUGGGGUUCUUCUCCAUUUCUAUCAAGAAUAAAAUCAAUAGUGCAAUUCCAGUCACCUCCAAUGAUUGUACAAACAUCGUCAUCAAUUUUUUGAAUAGCACUCCUCAAUUGUAAAAAAGACCUCACACGCUCAGGUCCAUUGUUGGAUGCAUAAACAUUUAUCAGUACAAAUACAGAUCCUUCAUAUUUGAUUUUUAACAACAAUAUUCUUCCUUUUACAAUUUCUUCAACAGCUAAAAUAUUAACAUUCAUUCCUUUAGCAAAUAAAAUGGCUAUGCCAGCACUUAUAUUUGUCCCAUGACUUAAAACACUCGUUCCUUCCCACCAUCUACUCCAUUCAGAUUCAUUGUCUACACUUGAGUGUGUUUCCUGUAAGAAAGCUACAUUAAUUUUUUUAAUACCAAAUAACUCCGAUACCAUUGCUAAUUUAUUACCAUCUCUACCCCCAUUAAUAUUUAAAGAGCCA